UACGGAGGGUGCAAGCGUUAUCCGGAUUUAUUAGGUCUAAAGGGUGCGUAGGCUGAUGAUUAAGUCAGUGGUGAAAUCCUACAGCUUAACUGUAGAACUGCCAUUGAUACUGGUCAUCUUGAAUUUAGUUGAGGUAGGCGGAAUGUGUAGUGUAGCGGUGAAAUGCUUAGAUAUUACACAGAACACCGAUUGCGAAGGCAGCUUACUAAGCUAUAAUUGACGCUGAGGCACGAAAGCGUGGGGAGCGAACAGG
rnacentral:rRNA from 1 species